rnacentral:rRNA from 1 species
UACGUAGGGCGCAAGCGUUUGUCCGGAAUUAUUGGGCGUAAAGAGCUCGUAGGCGGUUUGUCACGUCGGAUGUGAAAGCCCGGGGCUUAACCCCGGGUCUGCAUUCGAUACGGGGCAGACUGGAGUGUGGUAGGGGAGAUCGGAAUUCCUGUGUAGCGGUGAAAUGCGCAGAUAUCAGGAGGAACACCGGUGGCGAAGGCGGAUCUCUGGGCCAUUACUGACGCUG